rnacentral:rRNA from 1 species
UACGUAGGGGGCAAGCGUUGUCCGGAUUUAUUGGGCGUAAAGAGCUCGUAGGCGGCUUGGCAAGUCGGGUGUGAAAACUUCAGGCUCAACCUGGAGCGGCCACUCGAUACUGCUAUGGCUUGAGUCCGGUAGGGGACCACGGAAUUCCUGGUGUAGCGGUGAAAUGCGCAGAUAUCAGGAGGGACACCAGUGGCGAAGGCGGUGGUCUGGGCCGGAACUGACGCUGAGGAGCGAAAGCGUGGGGAGCAAACAGG